GAGAGAUUAGCUCAAAUGGAUAGAGCAUUGGCCUCCGGAGCCAAAGGUAAUGGGUUCGAAUCCCGUAUCUCUCG
rnacentral:tRNA from 1 species